GAUGAACGCUGGCGGCGUGCUUAACACAUGCAAGUCGAACGAUGAAGCCCAGCUUGCUGGGUGGAUUAGUGGCGAACGGGUGAGUAACACGUGAGUAACCUGCCCUUAACUCUGGGAUAAGCCUGGGAAACUGGGUCUAAUACCGGAUAGGAGCGUCCACCGCAUGGUGGGUGUUGGAAAGAUUUAUCGGUUUUGGAUGGACUCGCGGCCUAUCAGCUUGUUGGUGAGGUAAUGGCUCACCAAGGCGACGACGGGUAGCCGGCCUGAGAGGGUGACCGGCCCCCCUGGGCCUGAGGCACGGCCCAGACUCCUACGGGAGGCAGCAGUGGGGAAUAUUGCCCAAUGGGCCAAAGCCUGAUGCAGCGACGCCGCGUGAGGGAUGACGGCCUUCGGGUUGUAAACCUCUUUCAGUAGGGAAGAAGCGAAAGUGACGGUACCUGCAGAAGAAGCACCGGCUAACUACGUG
rnacentral:rRNA from 1 species